CGAUGCUCGCCAUUAAAGGGCGUAUUCUAGACUCUCAAAGUGGCUGUGAAAUGGUUUUAUUUUGCUCAUAUCACAGCCAGCUUUGAUGAGCUGGACUGCGCACCACGUUCAACGAAGUGAU
rnacentral:precursor_RNA from 11 species